UGUAAGGGUGAACACUGUUGACGGCUGAUUUUAUGCUGGUGAAGACAGUGCCCUGUAACUGACCAGGCACAGGAUAGGUGGAUCCUGCCAACCCAGAGGGCAGGGAGACUUGGGUGUCCAGGUUCCCUGCCCUGACCAAUGACACAGAAACGAAAGGAAUGAUAACUCUUAAGUGAGUGCUUGAAGAACAGGCCGAUGUCCCUGAGAAGAUGAAGAGCCGCUGCGUGGAGACUAUCACAGCAGUAACACAUCUUUUCACGCUUCCCUACAAAUCUUGCCUUUGCUAAGAAAAUCUGCAGCUGAAGGUCGUCUUCCAGAUGUUGUCACCAACAGCCCCAGGUUGUAAUGGCUUUAACUGCAGAAUCCAUUGGACACCCUCCAAGGAGAAUUUUAGAUAUGCAGACUACCACUUAUGAUUGUAUAAUCAAUGCAGCUCAAGUAUGUAGGACACUAUUUGACAUGAAGUUAUUAUGGAUUCAUAGGGUUAUGAUUUUCCAGAUUAGCAGGUGGGUAUCUUGGAUAAAGGACACCCCUUUCUAAACAUACCAAAGGGGCAGCUGUGGGGUGGUGGAUGGAUGUUCUUAUAUCUUCCAUAUGGUAGUGGGGUGUGUGCUUUACCUUUGGCACUGUAUUUAUCAGGUGUUAAGUUCUGGGGACCCAAUCUGAGAUUCCUAGGUUAUUUUGGAUAGCUGUCAGCUCUACCGUAUUUACAUGCAUUGUCAAUGCCAUAUACUUAAACUGACAUAAACCAAUCAAUGGCCUACACGAAACUCUUGCUUGCUGUGUUUGAAGUAAAACUAAUGGUAUAGAUGGUUAUUAUAAAGAAUUACUAGAAAUUAUUUAAAAUAGAAAAAUAUAAAAUAUCAAAUUCCCAGAAGAAAUUCAA